AAAAAUGGAAAGGAGCAAUCUUUGGCUUGUUGGAGACACCCUCACUCCGUUUUCAGUGUCUGUUUAAUAAGGAGCAGAGCGGAGCCUGUUGAAUAAGCAACAAAGUAGCUCAGUAGGCAGUAGACUGGCUGCCUGCCGAGCGUGUGUGUUGGCCUGGGUCAGCUCCAUCCCUCGAACCAAAAGCAGAGAUCACUGGAGAAGUGUUGCCACCGAGCAGCCAUAGGACUGGCCCUGCUUCCUUCCAUGCCUGUGAAGCCUGUAGGACUCUCCACAAAAGCUGCAGUUGCCGGGAAUCAGAGACAAGGAAACAGGCUCUGAGAGAUUAAGCAACUCAUCCCACUUGCUCAACCAGCAUAUGUGGGAGACCUGACAACCCGCCCUGUGUGGCCGUUUCACAAGCCAACGCCCAGCCACAGGGGACGACUGUUCCUGGGACUGGAAGUGAUGAAGAGGAGCCAUGAUGGUUAAACUUCUUUAAAAGAAAGAAGACAAACUGGCUUUCCUUGAUGCCUUUGAACCUGAGUCCAGAAGACUUAGGGACAAUGGAUAGCUAAAAUUUAUUUAUAUCUGAAGUUGGGUGGCAGGGUGCACUCCAGAGGCAGAGGCAGAGGCAGGGGGAUCUAUCUCCGAGUCUGAGGUCAGCCUGGUCUACAGAUCGAGUUCCAAGACAGCCAGGGCUACAAAGAAAAAUCCUGCCUCAAAAAAUGGAAAAAACAAAACAAAACAAACAAAAUACAUUAAAACAAACAAACAAACAAACAAACUGGAUUUAUUCUCUGCCGCGGCUGGGAGUGGACACCUUUGUUCAGCAAAAUGAACCUUUUCCUGAUUGUGCACUUCCAGGCCCUGGGCAAGCCGACUCUAGCACUCUGCAAAACCCCACCUCCCAAAGGAGGGUUGAACUUCUUGGAACCCUUAAAAACUACCAGUGAACUUCAGGAAGUAACCCACGCAACUCUUUCCCAGAAGAGGUCAAUGGUCACAGAAUCGUAAGAAACACCACUCUGACCCCGGGACUUCCUGCCUCCACACUCGGAACAUCUCAAAGUUCAAACUGCUCAGGAACUGACAUCCGGCUGACAGACGGGGAGUGUCGCUCAGUGGUAGAGUGCUUUCCUACAUCGGGAGAGGCCCUGGCUCCUAUCUCCAACUCUGUAAAGAAAAGAUUAAUACUAUGAAACGAAAAUAAACCAGGCUUUAAAGAAAACAAAAGCAUGAGAAGAAGAAAUCGCUUUCCCUGGGGUCUGGUUCCGUCGUCGUCCCCACCCCCGCCCCGCCCCCAUGACUGAGUCAAAAGAUUUCAAUGCAACUGGUCAAACCAAGAGUGCCUGCAGAGAUCUUGCAUGUUUUCCUAAAGCCAUCAGACAAGAGUACAACAAAGAAUGGGCAGAUGUGCUUACUCAGGACCAGAACACCUCUGACCGAUUAGCAUUCCUCUCUUAACCCCGCCCCCCCACCCCCCCCAUGUAAACAGUUUCACCUCAUAAAACCAGGUUUUUUGUUUUUUUUAAAAAAUAUUUGGUUAAGGGGGCUGGUGAGAUGGCUCAGUGGGUAAGAGCACCCGACUGCUCUUCCAAAGGUCCGGAGUUCAAAUCCCAGCAACCACAUGGUGGCUCACAACCAUCCAUAACAAGAUCUGAUGCCCUCUUCCGGAGUGUCUGAAGACAGCUACAGUGUACUUACAUAUAAUAAAUAAAUAAAUAAAUCUUUAAAAAAAAAA
rnacentral:lncRNA from 1 species